rnacentral:rRNA from 1 species
UACGUAGGGAGCAAGCGUUGUCCGGAAUCAUUGGGCGUAAAGCGCGCGUAGGCGGCCCGGUAAGUCCGUUGUGAAAGUCAAAGGCUCAACCUUUGAAUGCCGAUGGAUACUGCCGGGCUCGAGUCCGGAAGAGGCGAGUGGAAUUCCCGGUGUAGCGGUGAAAUGCGCAGAUAUCGGGAGGAACACCAAUGGCGAAGGCAGCUCGCUGGGACGUGACUGACGCUGAGACGCGAAAGCGUGGGGAGCAAACAGG